GUGCCUCAGUGUGUCAUGUCGUGAUAAACGUUCAGGCCGCACUAAGGAGGAUAACGUUGCUUUAGCAACGGCCCGUAGGGCGAGGCGAAAGCCGAGUAAUCCUCCUGGAUGCACCA
rnacentral:sRNA from 1 species